CGUACCAUAUUUGACACACAGCAGCCAUUCAAAUUUAGGGAAUGAACAGACUUCAAACAAAUGACAUUGUAAACUUUUAUUUCAUGCUGAACUUCACAGAAGAUAUCCCAGAUUAUUUUCCUCAGCUUAAAUUUACACCAGCCUAUGUUUUCUUACGACUGCCGCUGUAUUAGCAUUUCUGGCAAUGCCUAGGCUGCUGUGUGUUUCACCAGAACUCUGGUUAAAAAAUGAAAUAUCUUAUCUUGAAGAGAACAUUAUUUUCCUCUUUACAAAAUUUGUUAAUAUCCCCUUACAUAUUUUCCUCUAAGACAGAAAAAAAAAGGCUAUCAUUGUUUUAACACAGUUAGAAAUUCUGAGGACAUAAAUUUAUUGUAGGACAAUGUGAGGUACUUGCGACUUUAACACUUGGAGUGUACAACUGAGCUUCAACCAAGAAACAGAGUCCCUAAAUUAGGCAUCUGGCAGACACCCUGUUAAACCCCAAAGAUAGAUAUCUCACUUGAAAGAUGAUAUAUGGUUUCAACACCCUAAAAGAGUCUCUAUUUCUACUCUACUGCCAAAAGUAGCUUCUGAGCGUUCGGUCAACCUGGGAGUUCAAGAUUCUCAGAAAAUACACACUGCUGAGGACUUCUGGACGUUCCCAGUCAUCUUUAUUACGAAUGGCAUGAACUAAUGUGGUCCUUCAAGACCACACAGGUAUCUCCUAUUCAACUAAACUAAUUACCAAUUAUUUUCCACAGUGCUUUCAAAUCAAUGAAAACACAAUCACCAUAGAAAUUCAGAGAACAAAGCUCCCUUUCCUCACAUACCUGAUGCUGUGGUCAACACUCAUUCUUUAACUUGAAGGCCAGUAGCUCUCAUGCAUCAGAGGCGCUACUGCCAUUUUUUCUGAGAAUAUCGCCUGCACAGCGAACCAUUAGCAUGCUGGCUUGACCCAUUCAACAUCAGGUGUCAGGCAAAAAUUCUCUGAACUUUAAAGAGAGAGCCAAACACUGUGUUGAGAUCCCCCAUGUCUCUAAAUGCCUAAUGUGGGGUGUACUACCUCCGGUUGAAAACCACUAAUAAGUGCCUUCAUGCUCUAUCAACAGUGAUACACUUCUCACCUGAGCUAGGUAAAGGGGACACCAAGAUGAAUAAGACAGCCCCUGUCCUUGGGCUAGAGAGCGUCUUACCUUCUUUCUCUCAAUAACAAUAUACUAUAACACUGAAAAAAACAGCCAAGAAGAGUCAAUCUGAAAUGGGCCACAUUUCUGCCACCCAUUCUGGAAUAAAGUAUGAACAAUUCCAAUUGACUUAUAUAUUCAACUGUGUUCUGAAUGAGCAAAGUUCUGAAGGGUGGUGAGCAAGAUGGUGUGGAAAAAAGAACCAUAGCUUUAGAGUCAGAGAAACCUAGGUUAAAUCUCACCCCUGAAACUUACUACUCUCAUGAUUUGGGUUAAAUCAUUCUCCAUGGGAGUGGUAUCCUACCUCCCAUCCACCUGGGUGGAGGUGUUUGAAUUAUCCCAAUUACUGGAGGAUGCUACUGGCAAUUAUGGGCGGGGUCAUGGAUGCCAAAUGUCCCGCAAAGGACAGCAGAGUCCAGUUCCAUAAAGCAUUGUUCCACCCAAGAUGCCAACAGUGUUCACCAUUAAGAACUCUCCACCCUCAGUUUCCUCAAUUGUCAGAACAGUGAUAAGCAUACCAACCUCCAAGGCUGAGGUUUAAAUGAGAAGCUGCUAGUAAAAGUAUCUAGCCCAGGGAUCCCUGGGUGGUGCAGUGGUUUGGCGCCUGCCUUUGGCCCAGGGGGUGAUCCUGGAGACCUGGGAUCGAAUCCCAUAUCGGGCUCCUGGUGCAUGGAGCCUGCUUCUCCCUCUAUGUCUCUGCCUCUCUCUCUCUGUGUGACUAUCAUAAAUAAAUAAAUAAAUGAAUGAAUGAAUGAAUGAAUGAAUGUACCUAGCCCAGCAAUGUGUACAGUUAGUCCAUCAUAAAUUUUAACUAGGAGUUAAAAUAUCACACAGAGUUCCUUUUAAACAGGCCCAUCAUGUGUGAUGCAAAGAAACAAAAACAAGCAAUCAUUUUCUCAAAGUGGAGAACAAUAGGCAGGUAUCCUCCAAACUUCAUAUUCUAGCAAGUAUCUAACAGGCUCCCACAAAAGUAGUCUGAACUUUAAGAGCCAAAUACUGUUUAGAGACCUCUGUGACCUAGAUCCAACCUUUCUUUCUCUCUGUCCCACUGAUGUAUAUAGUUUCCAACAGAUCAUAACCUCCUAUAGGCCUCUGCUCAACGUAGAACACCUGUUUCCUAAUUCGGUCUUCCUAGCUAAGUUCUCUAAUACAACACUACCAAUGCCCUGAAGAACCAGGUAAAACUCCCUCGACCACGAAGCCUGCUCCCUGCUCUCCCUUACAACUUCUAAUGAGUCCUUUACUUGUGUGCUCAUAAAUUGGGUUAAACAUUAUAGCAGGGACGCCUGGGUGGCUCAGUGGUUGAGCAUCUGCCUUUGGCCCAGGUGUGAUCCUGGAGUCCUGGGAUCGAGUCCCACAUUGGGUUCCCUACGUGGACCCUUCUCCCUCUGCUUGUGUCUCUGCCUCUCUCUCUGUGUGUCUCUCAUGAAUAAAUAAAUGAAAUCUUAAAAAAAAAUUAUAGCAGUGACUCUCAAAUUGGGAUCCACAGAACUCGGAGUUCUCAAGUUUCCUAUGAAAACUUCAGGUUUUUUUUAUUUUCUACAUAGUCUAAAAUAAAUAUAAGCACCUCCGAGACCUGGUCAGUCACCCAAGAAGAAUACUAACGAGCAAUUCAAGUGUCCAUACCUGAAUCUGCAUAUAUAACAGUGUUGAUGUUAACAGACCUUUUUUAGUUGCCAAAGGUUAAUGAGAAUAGGAUAGCAGCAAACUCAAUACAUAAAUGAGGUGUUCACACCAGAUGAAGCCCAAAUAACUUAGAGCACUCCAUAGAAGCAAAGGCUUUCCUAUGGCUCAAAUAAGGGAAUAUUGGAAAACCUGAGUCAUGGCAGAGCACAGUUGUCCAGUCACGGCAACCACCAAAGACCCUGUGCUUGUCCCAACUGGUAUUAUAUGCGUUUUGUGAAGAGCCAAAAAAAGAGUUUUUAAGAUAAUGCGUAAAAACUGACUUUUAGGGGAUCCAUGGGUGGCUCAGUGGUUUAGCGCCUGCCUUUGGCCCAGGGCAUGACCCUGGAGUCCCGGGAUCAAGCCCCACAUCAGGCUCCCUGCAUGGAGCCUGCUUCUCCCUCUGCCUGUGUCUCUACUUCUCUCUCUCUUUCUCUGGGUCUCUCAUGAAUAAAUAAAUAAAAAUCUAAAAAAAAACAAAAACAAAAAAAAGCAGUUUUACUGGACAUAUGGUUAUGCUUGAUUUUUCAUUCUGUUCUUAAGGAAUUCUGUUAAGUCCCGUUUUGUAUUUGUACAUGCGUAAGUUUUAUAGUAAAAUUCACAUAAGCAACACUGGGAGUGCAACUAAGGAGACUGUACAACACAAGCUUAAGGUCUGAGAGAAUGCAUUUCAAGUACACUGAAAAAUCAUUAAGCAGAUAUGAACCCUUAAUGUUUUUUACAGGUUGCAGGUAUAGCAUCGGACUUGAAUACUUGUUCAUUAACUGAAAAGUAACUUUGGGCAAAUUCAACUUUUUUUAAAGUAAAAUGGGGACACUGAUCACAAAGAUUCGUCCAACCUCAACUGUAAUACUGUUAAGACUAUUUUGAUAAAUUCAGUGCUAGAUACAUGAAAUGUACUGAUAUUACUAUUUUCAAGUGGUCUUUUCAGUGUCUUGUACUUUCUUGUGAGAAAGGUUCUUUUUUUUUUCAGUCGUCUUAACAUCCCUACCAGUCAGUCACUCCAAGCACCGCAUGUCUGCUGUUGGGGUCACCAGUAUAAAAGGCAAACUGGGCUCCCAUUAAGACUGCAAAUUAAACAGCCAAUAUACCCUUUCAUUUUGAAAUAAGAGCACGGUUCUUAGAUCUAAUAUCGCAAUUCUGUUUCCAAUCUCGUUAACACCAGGGUGUUGUGUUACUGGGACACCGGGUACUAAGAAGACUUUUCCAUUUGUUUCAUCAAACUUCCAAUAAAGGCUUUGUGUGUAACUCACGUCCUUGAAAAAAGAAAGAUUCGAGCUCAAAUCAAACGCAAAACACCCACUGAAGGAUCACCUGCUGCCCCCUUAACAUCUGGAGAGUUCUAAGAAGCUGAGGACAAAAGGAGUGUUCACAGAAGCAGAGUCACGAACCUCGGCGGCGGCGGCGCCCACCUGGAGAUAGAGGGUGACCACGGAGAGGUGCUAGGUGGGCGGAGGGCCAGUUGCCGGAGCGGCUGGCCAGGACCAGAGACCGAGGAGAUUAGAGCGGGGCCUAGCAAGCCCAAUUAGGGCAGCAAGGCGAGCGGCGUUUUCCGCACGGUUCUGUUCGGAGCCCGCAACUGGCCGGCCUGCUCCUAACAGCGACUCCAGGUCUCCGUCCGGUCCGGCUCGCUUCGAAGCCGCCUCCACCUCACACGAGGUGGGUGGUGCCCGAGCGCCCGCGGCGGCCCGGCCCGGCCCGGCCCGUCUGACAGCCUGGGCAGCCCGGCCGGGCUUCGGCACGUCUCGUCAACUGCUGUGCUUACGUGUAACGCCGGAUUUUACGCUCUCCCGAGACGGGGCAACAACAGCUGGAGCCUCCGGGAAAGCUGGCCCGCGACGGGCGCUUUCCCGACGGUCAGAGCGGGGACGCUUCGCCGACGGGAAUCAAACCUGAGACCCGGCGCUAAGGAGCCCCGCUCGGCUUCCUGAGGCGGCUUCCUCGGAGGUCCUCCACCAAGUCUUUCAAGCCUGAGCCCGGGAGCGAGAACAGCGCUCGGACUUGCUUGUGACGCUGCCAACUCAGGCUUGAGAGCUGAGCCGGCCCGGGCCGUCAGCGCCCGCGGCCUUCCAGCCGGCCCCCCGGGUGCCCGGGGCGCGCCCCAGGGCGCGGUCCCACGGGAGGGUGGGGCACAGGCGCCCCGUAGGCCUGUCCGCUCGCCUCUCGUUCGGCCCGGCCCGUGCGCAGACCCGUCCUAACCCAGCGGGGCUUUACGUUUCUCACACUCCGUGUUGCAAAAACGACCCCGACAAAACACAAGUGACCUGUUGAGAUCUUAGUUCUUACUUGUUAGUUACACGGACUAACUGGAGUCUGGAAAGCCGCGUCUGAGGCUGCUGCGCGCGGGCACAGGGGCCCCGCCGCCGGGGGACCGUCCGGGUCUCCGUCCGGGUCUCCGUCCGGGUCUCCGUCCGGGUCUCCCUCCCUCCGCGCCUUCGGCACAGCGAGCCCGCAGGAUUCCCGCCUGCAUCUUCACGAGUUUGGCGGUAAACCCAACUUUUUACCGGUGAAGAGAAAAAGGAGUGACCUUCAACAAAGGUCCUGUGGUGACUGGAUUAUGACACUAUGACCUACCAUCAAGAAGCUUCGUCUCAGAGAAGGAAACAGAACUAACCAAAAGUUUACAGAUUGUACGACAGCGUGAUAAGGGAAACAUGUACGUGGGCAAAGAGAGAAGACAGCGCCUAACGGUGUCACUUGGGCAGGCUGUACUUGGGGUCCAGGACAGAGUUCACCGUCACAGAUCCAGAAGUACAGAUCGCAAAGUCCUGUAAGGACAACCAGUUAAAACACCUACUGACACAUAUUCAUAUUAGAAAUCUAUAUUAGAUAAAAUUAGAGAAAUUUGUAAUCAAUCAAAUUUAUAAUUAGAUGAAGUCUAUAUUAGAUAAAAAGCAACAUCAAAGCCCAAUAGGAGUGCACAGAAUACUGGGCCAGCGAUAGAUGUAUCAUUAACAUAUAUAUUGUGUGAUUUAGUGAGAAAAUAUUGCAGUAAAUGGGUGCUACUACAUUAUGAAUCAUCAAAUACUAUGUGUAACAUAAGAAUAUUCAAGGGCUUUGGUAUGCUAAUAUGAAACUACCUUUAAGUGAACUCUGCUGCAUUCUUUAGAGUCAUUGCACAAUUAAAUGACAAACAUAAGGUAUGAGAAAUAUGCAGGUAGAGAAACUGGUACACUGAUUCUAGCAUGACCUAUAUAAUUGGAGUUUACAGCUGCCAAUUUUUGCCCAAGGCAGGUCAGACCAGUAAUUCGGGCAGGAGGAGUCUAACUACUAACCAAAUACCUAAUUUAGGACCAAAAUCAAGUGUAUGCAAAAAUUAGUUUGACUUGUUUGACAUUCUUAUAAAAAUUGUCUUUCUCAUAGCUAUUACCUUGGAUUCACUCUAAAAGUUGUCAAGUCAAUGUUAUUAACUAUCGUGAAAUCCAGAAAGUUACCUGGUCCAACUUUAUGAUUAGUGGUUAACAUGCUUUUUCCUCCUCUAAAAACUGGUAGCAGUACUGUAUUUUCUAAUAUUUUAUCUAUAAAUUUGAAGAAUUCUGUAACUCCUAUAAUAAAUAUAUCCACAUUCCCCUAAGGUUUGCAAUUAUCAACAUAUUCAGCUAGUCAAUUUUAUAUGAGUGAAGCAAUUCCAGACUUUCUUUUUUGAAAAUAAAUUAUUUAUCUACUGUAUUCUGUUCUGGUUAUUC